rnacentral:rRNA from 1 species
UACAGAGGUCCCAAGCGUUGUUCGGAUUCACUGGGCGUAAAGGGUGCGUAGGUGGUUGGGUAAGUCUGAUGUGAAAUCUCCAGGCUCAACUUGGAAACUGCAUCGGAUACUAUUCAGCUAGAGGGUUGGAGGGGGGACUGGAAUUCUCGGUGUAGCAGUGAAAUGCGUAGAUAUCGAGAGGAACACCAGUGGCGAAGGCGAGUCCCUGGACAACUCCUGACGCUGAGGCACGAAAGCUAGGGGAU